GGGGGGGUCAUUGCCAAAAAUGUCAUACCACUGGGGGGUUACCAUAAAAAAAUAUUUUAACUAGGGGGGGUCACACAAUAAAGGUUUUUAUGUCUGACUAGUAUAUAAAUUGUUGACAAAAUUGAAAUGAGUGUGCGAUCUGUGAAAUAAUGUCUGUUUAUUAAAUCUUUGAUAGUGUAAACUGUAAAGCACCAGCAGGAU
rnacentral:lncRNA from 1 species